UACGUAGGGCGCAAGCGUUGUCCGGAUUCACUGGGUGUAAAGGGUGCGUAGGCGGGAGAGUAAGUCCGCGGUGAAAUCUCACGGCUUAACCGUGAAACUGCCGUUGAUACUGCUUUUCUUGAGUUCGGGAGAGGUUGAUGGAAUUCCAGGUGUAGCGGUGAAAUGCGUAGAGAUGUGGAGGAACACCGAUGGCGAAGGCAGCCCCCUGGGCUAACACUGACGCUCAUGCACGAAAGCGUGGGGAGCAAACAGG
rnacentral:rRNA from 1 species